rnacentral:tRNA from 1 species
GCAGGCGUGGCUCAACUGGAUAGAGUACCUGACUACGAAUCAGAAGGUUGUGGAUUCGACUUCUUCCGCGCGCA